rnacentral:rRNA from 1 species
AUUGAACGCUGGCGGCAGGCUUAACACAUGCAAGUCGACCGGAAAAAGGCCUCUGGGUCCUGACGAGUGGCGAAGGGGGGAGAAUUGCGUCGAAACGUACCCAUGGGAGGGGGAUAACGCGGCGAAAGCUGGGCUAUAACCCCGUGUGAGUUGAGGAGGAAAGCGGGGGACCGAGUAGCAACUUUUGCCCUCGGACCUUUGUAGCGCCCGAUGUCGGAUUAGCUAGUUGGUGGGGUAAAGGCCUACCAAGGCGACGAUCCGUAGCUGGUCUGAGAGGACGACCAGCCACACUGGGACUGAGACACGGCCCAGACUCCUACGGGAGGCAGCAGUGGGGAAUUUUGGACAAUGGGCGCAAGCCUGAUCCAGCAAUGCCGCGUGCGGGAAGAAGGCCUUCGGGUUGUAAACCGCUUUUGGCAGGGACGAAACGGUGUCCGCUAAUACCGGGCGCUAAUGACGGUACCUGCAGAAUAAGCACCGGCUAACUACGUG